rfam:Ovis aries breed Texel chromosome 6, whole genome shotgun sequence.
UCCUGAUAGCUCAGUUGGUAAAGAAUCUGCCUGCAAUGCAGGAGACCCUGGUUUGAUUCCUGGGUCAGGAA